UACAGAAGGUGCGAGCGUUAAUCGGAUUUACUGGGCGUAAAGGGCACGUAGGCGGUAGGAUGUGUGUGAUGUGAAAGCCCCGGGCUCAACCUGGGAAGUGCAUCGCAAACUAUCUAACUAGAGUAGAUGAGAGGGUGGCGGAAUUUCCAGUGUAGCGGUGAAAUGCGUAGAGAUUGGAAGGAACGUCAAUGGCGAAGGCAGCCACCUGGCAUCAUACUGACGCUGAGGUGCGAAAGCGUGGGGAGCGAACAGGAUUAGAUACCCUGGUAGUCCACGCUGUAAACGAUGAGGACUAGAUGUUGGUAGGGGAACCUAUCAGUAUCGAAGCUAACGCGAUAAGUCUUCCGCCUGGGAAGUACGGCCGCAAGGUUGAA
rnacentral:rRNA from 1 species